GUCGAGAAUCUUCCGCAAUGGGCGAAAGCCUGACGGAGCGACGCUGCGUGCAGGAUGAAGGUCUUCGGAUUGUAAACUGCUGUCACGGGUGAUGAAUGCGGUGAGGUGAACAGCCGAAUCGUUGACGUAAGCCCGAAAGGAAGCACCGGCUAACUCUGUGCCAGCAGCCGCGGUAAUACAGAGGGUGCAAACGUUGUUCGGAAUCACUGGGCAUAAAGCGCACGUAGGCGGUCAUGUAAGUGUGGAGUGAAAUCCCACGGCUCACCCGUGGAACUGCUCUGCAAACUGCAUGACUCGAGGACGGUAGGGGAGAGCGGAACUCUUGGUGGAGCGGUGAAAUGCGUAGAUAUCAAGAGGAACACCGGUGGCGAAGGCGGCUCUCUGGUCCGUUUCUGACGCUGAGGUGCGAAAGCUAGGGUAGCGAACGGG
rnacentral:rRNA from 1 species